rnacentral:lncRNA from 1 species
CCACCAGUCCCACUCCUGUGCUAGUAACUCUUUAAUCCAUCAACCCAUUAAUCCAUGAAUAGAUUAACCCAUGAGGCCUCUGCCCUCAGGACCCAAUCACCUCUUAAAGGCCUGACCUGUCAAUAUUGCCAUACUGGGGACUCAGUUUCAACAUGAGUUUUGAAAGGGACAAACAUUCAAUCCAUAGUAACAUGAGAGCUUUUCAAAGCCCUUCUUUGUUGAAGUAUGUCCUUCUCCAGCCUCUUUUUUCCCAGGCUUUUUGUUUUUUCUAUUGCUUGUGCAGCUGUUAUCCUUUGCUACAGGUGGCAAUAGCUAAUACAUUUGCCUUUAAAUUUGUUUGACAAACACCACCCUGGAAGUAGCCUCAACUCUGGGGAAGCUCCAAGACAGGUAAAAUACAGGUAAGCCCUUGAGCAGAUCCUUCAGGAAGCUACCAUGUGGGUCAAAACACAGAACCACAAUUCUUUAAUUCUUUGAGAAUAAGGUCUGUAUUGUUCCCUCUGUUACCAGCAACCUGCAGCAGGAAAAUGGGCUUCAGUUUUCAAGUCUGCAGCUGAGUUGGGAAGUUGCGGACAGUAACCAGAGUGGUGUGGAACAUGUCUCUUCUCUGAACUCCCUCUCCUUUAGUCCUGUCACACUGAAGACAUUGCUGGAGGCAUUUCUGCCACCUGGGUGAAUCAAAGAACCAACUAAUUUGUGAGGAUGUGAAGAGGAGGCAUUCCUAACUUUCCACUUAUCUGUUAAGACCCAGUUGAAAUCUUUCAUCUUGGAGCGGGGGACAGUGAUCCUGUUCCCCCGUGCCCACCCCCAUCUGGAAGCACAGCUGAUCACUUUCUCCUUCGUAGAACAGCAUGCCUCACAUAUACCCCUGUUAUGCAUUUUGUUACGUGUCGUUUGAAUUAUGUAUCUCUCUACAUAAUUGUUUCAACUAUAAGAUGCACAAAUUCCUUGAGGUUGAGAACCAGGUCUUCUUUAUUUUUUUAACCCCAGGGCCAUGCACAGGCCCUGGUUGUAUCUGGCACGUUCCUGGCAGGAAGCAGAUGAUGCCUUCAAACUGGGUAAUCAAGGGCAGUUUAACGAUAUUAUAGGCCAUGUGCAGUGGCUUAUGCCUGUAAUCCUGGCACUUUCGGAGGCUGAGGCAGGAGGAUCACUUGAGCCCAGGAGUUCCAGGCUGCAGUGAGCUGUGAUCAUGCCACUGCACUCCAGCCUGGGUGACAGAGUGAGACCCUGUCUCAAAAAAAAGAAAAACAGAAAACCCCAAAGGUACUAUUACAAAAGUGUAGGCAGGGUUCUGUGAAAGUAACAGGGAAUGGUGUGGUAUACCCAAGUUAAUAACAGAAUGGUGGAGGGGCAAAUGGAGAGAAUGGUCACCAAAACCCAGGGAAAAGCUUUUAGUAGAGGGCACAGUCAAUCCGUAGUGACCCAGCAAGGGAGGAAUUGGAAAUAGUGACCUCAACUUCGUUUUUCUCCAUCCUUUGUUCUCCUGCCCAUGUUUUCUAUUGGCUGAAUCUAACCAGAAUGCAGAGGGCAAGAGAGCCCAUUGCUGUGGUCCAUACAGGUCUGCCUCCCUGGUCUGAAGACAGCUAGAUGGGGCAAAUGGAAGUUAUCCAGUAUGGGAUCCCCUCAAGCAUUCACCCUUAUCCUUUUGCCAGGUGAAAUACUUAUGUUCCCAGCAGAGGGCACCCACAAAAUUCCUAUUAACUGCUGUACCAUUGCAUGAUGACUUCAAUUCAGUCAUAGUCUAACCUCGAGUCUAAAAUGGUAGCCAUUGCCAGUGCCCAUCAUUGAAGGUAUGAAUGAGGGGGAGAUUCAAGGAGACUGGAGUGAGGGGGCAAUUAAAAUAAUUACAAUGAAAUGUAACUCUGACUGAGCACAUUUCUGGAACAAGUCAUGAAGGCCACGCUGAUAAUCAUAGCUUCCUUCUUCCACCACCCAUUACCUCCUUCUGGCUGAGUGGGGUUUGUUACUUGGCAGGGUGAUCCAUACCUUCAUCUGUGAUCUGAGUCCUCGGUGAACCUGCCUCUCUGGGUUGCACCACUUUCCACCGACUGCUAGAAUAAGAGAUGCCUCAGUGAAUCUCUUGGAUGAGUCUCUCCUGUCGGGUAGCUGCAAAGGAAUUUCCUUCUAGUCAAUGGAGACAGCCAAUACAGUGACUGCUUUCUCUGCCUUUUGGUUUAGCAGCAUGAGGAGGCUCAGAUGGCUUAGGGUCACACUCAGUUUCAACUUCCAAUGGGAUGUUACUUUGUGUUCCUUGAUGGAAGUAUUUCUUCUAGGUCAGCCACUGAGCCCAAGGUCAAACAAAAAGCAAGAAUUCUUUCCAUGGUGAAUUAGUGUAAUAGUGCGAAGAACCACUCCUGCCUCCACCCCUCGGUUCCCAGGCUGAUGCAAUCUGAUUACGGGGGAGGUGGCAUCCUGGGCUGCUGCUGGUUUGAGGCAGUUACUGCAUCUUAUAGGAAAGCACCCCACCCUGCCAGGCAUUGCCCCUCAGCUGUCACUGUGUCUGUGUCUUCAGCAGGCCAUUCCGC